rnacentral:rRNA from 1 species
GACGAACCGUGCGAACGUUGUUCGGAAUCACUGGGCAUAAAGGGCGCGUAGGCGGCCCGCGAGGUCGGGGGUGAAAUCCCACGGCUUAACCGUGGAAGGGCCUCCGAUACCGGCGGGCUGGAGGGAGGUAGGGGUGCGCGGAACUUCUGGUGGAGCGGUGAAAUUCGUAGAUAUUCGGAAGAACACCAGUGGCGAAGGCGGCUCACUGGACUGGUAUUGACGCUGAGGUGCGGAAGCGUGGGGAGCAAACAGG